GGGAAUGUGGCUUAGUGGGAGAGUACUUGCCUCGAAUGCAUGAAUCCCUGGGUUUGAUUCCUCAGUACCA
rfam:Dipodomys ordii contig_10807, whole genome shotgun sequence.